UGGAUUCUGUCGAAAACGGCCGGUCCGCACUAUGUGCGUGUAUCUGGUUCGGUUUUGGCAUCCUCAUGAAGAACGUAACUGCGCUUGAUUGCGUGGUGCGGAAUUCAUGACUUUUACUUUGAGGAAAUUAGAGUGUUCACGGCAGGCAAGCGCCUUGAAUAUAUUAGCAUGGAAUAAUAAUAUAGGACCUUGGUCCCAUUUUGUUGGUUUCUGGAACUAAGGUAAUGAUUAAUAGGGAUAAUUGGGGGCAUUCGUAUUAACGCGUCAGAGGUGGAAUUCUUGGAUUGCGUUACGACGAACUACUGCGAAAGCAUUUGCCAAGGAUGUUUUCAUUGAUCAAGAACGACAGUAUGGGGAUCGAAGAUGAUUAGAUACCGUCGUAGUCUAUACCAUAAACUAUGCCGACUAGAGAUUGGAGGUCGUUCUUUUUAUGACUCCUCCAGCACCUUAUGAGAAAUCAAAGUCUUUGGGUUCCGGGGGGAGUAUGGUCGCAAGGGUGAAACUUAAAGGAAUUGACGGAAGGGCACCACCAGGAGUGGAGCCUGCGGCUUAAUUUGACUCAACACGGGGAAACUCACCAGGUCCAGACAUAGUAAGGAUUGACAGAUUGAUAGCCCUUUCUUGAUUCUAUGGGUGGUGGUGCAUGGCCGUUCUUAGUUGGUGGAGUGAUUUGUCUGGUUAAUUCCGUUAA
rnacentral:rRNA from 1 species